rnacentral:rRNA from 1 species
GUCGAGCGAUGACGCCCAGCUUGUUGCUUGUUGAUGGGAAAGGGGUGAGUGAGACUUGAGUAAGCUGCCCUUGACUUCGGGGUAACUCCGGGAAAGCGGGGCUAAGACCGGAUAUGAUCAUGCCUCGCAUGGGGGUGGUUGGAAAGUUUUUCGGCCAGGGAUGGGCUCGCGGCCUAUCGAUUAGUUAGUGGGGUGAUGGCCGACCUACCAAAGCACCGAUACCCAGCCUGAUAGAGAGACCGACCACCCUGGGACUGACACACAGCCCACACUCAUUCCGAAGGCAGGAAUGGGGAAUAUUGAUCAAUGGGCGAAAGCCUGAUGCAUGCACCCCUCCUGAGGGAUGAAAGACUUCCUUUUGUAAACCUCUUUCUUCAGGGAAGAAGCGCAGGUGACGGUACCUGCAAAACAAUCGCCGGCUAACUUUAUGCCAGAAGCCCCGGUAAUACCCGUGGCGCAAGCGUUGUCCGGAAUUAUUGGGCGUGCGAGCUCGUAGGCGGUUUGUCGCGUCUGGUGUGAAAACUCUAGGCUCAACUUCAAGCUUGCAUCGGGUACUGGCAGACUAAACUGCGUUUCGGGAGACUGGAAUUCCUGGUGUAGCGGUGGGUGACUUAUAUCAUGAGGAACACCGAUGGCGAAAUCUGGUCUCUGGGCCAUGACUGACGCUGACGAUCGAAAGCAUGCUGAGCGACAAGGACUAAAUACCCGGGUAGUCCAUGCCAUAGAUAUUGUGCACUACCUGUGCGGCUCCUUCCUCUACUACAGUGUCGGAGCAUCGCAUUGUUUGUCCGCCUGAAGAGUACGGUCGCCAGCCAGGGACUUACAGGAAUUGAAGUGAAACCGCACAGCUUCACAGCAUGCCGAUCAAUUCGAGGCGCGCUGAGAUCUUCCCUGCAUUUGAAUGCACAUACACCACCUGAAAUGGGAUCUCUUGGAAAUCGGUUAG